GAUGAACGCUGGCGGCGUGCCUAAUACAUGCAAGUAGAACGCUGAAGCUUGGUGCUUGCACCGAGCGGAUGAGUUGCGAACGGGUGAGUAACGCGUAGGUAACCUGCCUGGUAGCGGGGGAUAACUAUUGGAAACGAUAGCUAAUACCGCAUAACAGUCGACAUUGCAUGAUGUUGAUUUGAAAGGGGCAAUUGCUCCACUACCAGAUGGACCUGCGUUGUAUUAGCUAGUUGGUGAGGUAACGGCUCACCAAGGCGACGAUACAUAGCCGACCUGAGAGGGUGAUCGGCCACACUGGGACUGAGACACGGCCCAGACUCCUACGGGAGGCAGCAGUAGGGAAUCUUCGGCAAUGGGGGCAACCCUGACCGAGCAACGCCGCGUGAGUGAAGAAGGUUUUCGGAUCGUAAAGCUCUGUUGUAAGAGAAGAACGAGUG
rnacentral:rRNA from 1 species